AUUUGCCACUAGGGGAGCUGGAAGGCUGAGAGUCCCGGAACACUCGGGACACACCCUUUGGACCUGAACUCGGUAAUGCGAGCGUAGGGAAGUGGGUUGAGACCGGA
rnacentral:ncRNA from 2 species